rnacentral:rRNA from 1 species
UUGACGGGGGCCCGCACAAGCGGUGGAGCAUGUGGUUUAAUUCGAUGCAACGCGAAGAACCUUACCUGGGCUUGACAUCCCUGGAAUCCCCUGGAAACAGGGGAGUGCCCUUCGGGGAGCCAGGAGACAGGUGCUGCAUGGCUGUCGUCAGCUCGUGUCGUGAGAUGUUGGGUUAAGUCCCGCAACGAGCGCAACCCUUAUCUUUAAUUGCCAGCAUUCAGUUGGGCACUUUAAAGAGACUGCCGGUGUUAAACCGGAGGAAGGUGGGAUGACGUCAAGUCCUCAUGGCCUUUAUGCUUAGGGCUACACACGUGCUACAAUGGGUGGUACAAAGAGAAGCCAACUCGCGAGAGCGCGCCAAUCUCAAAAAGCCAUCCUCAGUUCGGAUUGGAGUCUGCAACUCGACUCCAUGAAGUUGGAAUCGCUAGUAAUCGCGGAUCAGCAUGCCGCGGUCGAAUACGUUCCCGGGCCUU